CUGCACAGAAUCCCUGAUGGGCCAACAAAUUUAGGGCGCAGGUGUCCUAGUGUUCCACCAUCAACCUGUGCAGGCCCUGGAGACAUUCAACAGCUUCCUGAAGAGCACCUCCUUCUUCCUCAGCUGUGGGUAGGUUUCCUCCUCCAGGCUAUUUUGGGAAACAAUUAAAAGAGUUUGUAAAGUUCUUCCAGAGCUCGGAUGCGCAAUUAAUUGGAGGGUGAAGAAGUGGAAGAAGGCUGAGGGAAGAGGCCAGGUGAGUAAUUAACAGCUGGCUGAAGUAUCCUGUUUUUAAAUACGUUUGAACCCCAGGACACAUAAUUGCUGAGUUAUAUAAGGUGAUUCAGUGAAUCCUUUGUGAAGGUCUCUAGUAAAAUAGUUUGGGCAUGAUUUC
rnacentral:lncRNA from 1 species